UGGCGGUGAAUAGAUAAGCAUCGUGACUGGGGAAGCUCAGGUGAGCACCACCUGAGGGAGAGGGUCUGGCAGUGAAUAAAUAAGCAGUGCGACUGGGAAAUUGUGAAGCUCAGGUGAACGCCACCACCUCCUGGGUUGCUUUAGUGUCCAGCAGCUGCCUAGAACUAUGUUGAAUGAAGAGCUCUCUGGGUUCUGGAAGUGGGGCAGCUUUGGGUGGGGCAGUGUUACCACCGUCAGCCUGGCUUGGGUCUGCAGGGUCCAGGGCCUCGGUCACUUUGCUUCUCUCUCCACAGCUCACUCCUGGGGGCAAAGCGGCGCAGGCCGGAGUGGCCGUGGGUGACUGGGUGCUGAGCAUCGAUGGCGAGAAUGCGGGUAGCCUCACACACAUCGAAGCUCAGAACAAGAUCCGGGCCUGCGGGGAGCGCCUCAGCCUGGGCCUGAGCAGGGCCCAGCCGGUUCAGAGCAAACCGCAGAAGGCCUCCGCCCCCGCCGCGGACCCUCCGCGGUACACCUUUGCACCCAGCGUCUCCCUCAACAAGACGGCCCGGCCCUUUGGGGCGCCCCCGCCCGCUGACAGCGCCCCGCAGCAGAAUGGACAGCCGCUCCGACCGCUGGUCCCAGAUGCCAGCAAGCAGCGGCUGAUGGAGAACACAGAGGACUGGCGGCCGC
rnacentral:sRNA from 1 species